GUCGCCACGACCAUGUGGUGUACAGAGUCCUAAAUUUUGGGGCUCCCAAACUGUUAAGGAAGAAAUCGAUG
rnacentral:sRNA from 17 species